rnacentral:rRNA from 1 species
CACGUAGGGCGCAAGCGUUGUCCGGAAUUAUUGGGCGUAAAGAGCUCGUAGGCGGUCUGUUGCGUCUGCUGUGAAAACUCGGGGCUUAACCCCGAGCCUGCAGUGGAUACGGGCAGACUAGAGGUAGGUAGGGGAGAAUGGAAUUCCCGGUGUAGCGGUGAAAUGCGUAGAUAUCAGGAGGAACACCGGUGGCGAAGGCGGCUCUCUGGACAGUAACCGACGCUGAGGCGCGAAAGCUAGGGGAGCAAACAGG